rnacentral:rRNA from 1 species
UACGUAGGGCGCAAGCGUUGUCCGGAAUUAUUGGGCGUAAAGAGCUCGUAGGCGGUCUGUCGCGUCGGCUGUGAAAACCCGAGGCUCAACCUCGGGCCUGCAGUCGAUACGGGCAGACUAGAGUGCUGUAGGGGAGACUGGAAUUCCUGGUGUAGCGGUGAAAUGCGCAGAUAUCAGGAGGAACACCGAUGGCGAAGGCAGAUCUCUGGGCCGUAACUGACGCUGAGGAGCGAAAAGCGUGGGGGAGCGAAACAGGG